rnacentral:rRNA from 1 species
UAGGGGGCAAGCGUUAUCCGGAUUUACUGGGUGUAAAGGGAGCGUAGACGGCACCGCAAGUCUGAAGUGAAAGCCCCGGGCUUAACCCGGGAACUGCUUUGGAAACUGUGGGGCUGGAGUGCUGGAGAGGUAAGCGGAAUUCCUAGUGUAGCGGUGAAAUGCGUAGAUAUUAGGAGGAACACCAGUGGCGAAGGCGGCUUACUGGACAGUCACUGACGUUGAGGCUCGAAAGCGUGGGGAGCAAA